GGAAAUGAGAAUAUGCAAAGCUAAGAGUAGCAGUAAAUACAGGAAUUCAUUUACAUCUUACUUGCCGAAGCACUGUUAUGGACAUAAAAAAUGGCUCGGAUCAGAAAAGAUACAAGUUCUUUCAUGGCAGCACUCCUACUUUGUGCACCAGACACAUGUAUGAAACAGCAAAGAAAGAACUUAGCCUGUAUCAGCUGCCAUCAUAUUCACUCUCUCACAUCAGAGAAUGGCAUUAAUAAGAGCUCAUACUAUGUACAAAAGCCACAUGCACCAAGCACUACACAAAUCCAGGAGAUAAAGGAAACAAACCAGCUGCUCUGUGCAACCAUAGAAAGAAGUUUCCAUAUAUCAGCCACCAAAACAAUACUAUGUUCUUGCAAAGCAAGACAAGGAAGAAAUUAUUUACCUGUGUCUAUUUCAGUUUGACUAAUGCAUGGUCUUAUAUAUUCACCAUGGUCCCUACUCCUUAGAGAAGGAAUUGUUCUGAGAAUAAAUUAAUCAAAAUAACAAAUGGAGUUUCACUGUAAGUGAAAUGGGCAGCUUUUCUUUCAGAUGAAGGGCUGGCUUUGGACCUGGGCAGAACAUGGGCACGAGCCACCACAGUAACUGCCAGCACUGUACAUACAGCAGCUUUUCCUAUAUCAAUCUCAGUAACAGCAGAAAGAAUAGCUAGCCUGCUUAUGCCUCUGAACAUUUUGAAGUCAAACAUCUGAACCUUCUUCCUUUGGGCAGCAUCUAUUCAGCACCCAGGAAACAAAUUGAUACUGAGAGCCUGGCCUCCUUGAGAAGCUUAAUGUGGACAUUUCUGAAAGUCAUUUGUAGCGCCAGUGCUGUCCAUCGCAGUCCUGGAGAAGACCACACACUUACAUUUGUGAGUUGGCACGUGUGAAGGACCACUGCUGGAGGAGCCCAGUUGAAAUGAGCAUUAACUUCAGCAAAUUCAGCUUUCAAGUUCAAAUCUGGCCAAACAGUUCCCAGCUGCUGGGUUAUUACUGCAUAGCUUGGCUGCAUUCAGACGUUCAUCAAGUAGAAGCACAUGUGAGGAAGGGUGUGAGAAAUUCCCACAAUGCUAACUCACUUCUCACUGAACCAGGCAAUCAACUUUUUCAGCUUGCUCUUGAGCACUUGUAUUUAUGGUAGGAAACCCCACCAACACUGAUUUUAGUUUGCCAGGUAAGUAAUACAGGAUGCAUGAAAGCGUUAUGGAGCCAACACGUUCCUGACAAGACCAUAUCUGAGCAUCAGCACGGAAAUCUUUCCAUUCUACCUGGCGUAGCUUUGCUUCUAGCAAGCCAUUUCUGAAGCAUUUCACUUGUUCAAGGAUGAGAAUAUCCGACACGUUCUCACCAUAGUUCAGGAGUCCCAGUUACCGUAAGACCACACACAAGGUUUUGAAAGAUCUCCAAAGACUCAAUUCUGUCAUCCCUGUACAGUCAUCUGUCAAAAGUGCACCUAAAUAGUUGGUACACUGCACAGAGAACCAAAGGGUGAAUUAGAAGGGACUGCCCAAGAUUAGGUUGGAAUGUCUACAUAGGACUGGUGACAUAGGAUCAAUCUGCCUUCUAGGUGAGACCCAAGGGUUUUGGCAGUAACAGCAGAUGGGAAGAACAAAAAACUGACAAACUCAUAUUCCUUCUUUCAUUCUUAAUUUUGGCACCAGGUCCAGACCUCACGAGGAUUUCUGCUGAAAGUAUUUGAGUAGUUCACUUCUUCAGAGCACACGUUUGUUAUUCUAUAGAUAUAAUUACCAUAUAAAUAAUAUUUCUGAAUGAAUGAGCCUUCAGUAAUACCUUUUAAAAAUAUUUAGCACUCCUAGGGGGAAAAAACUCUACACAAAAUAAAGAAGUGUAUGUACAGUGCUUUUUGUCAAAGUAAAGCAAGAAUGUUCUGCUCAAUUUCUUUUCAAAAAUUAAGCCCUGGUACUAACGAAACUUGGCUUCUCGUGAAGAGCAACUCUGAUGCAAAUUUAAGUCAGAGAUAAUGCAAAGUCUGAUUUUAGAGCUUUUCCUUGCAGCUGGGUUGUUAACCAAGAAACAUUCUGAAUUCAGUGCUGUUUGAUAGAGUCGGCGUAGACUGCAACUUCUGCCAUACCAUUUCCUUCUGUCUCAUCCACAUGCCAAUUCCAACCUCACAUCUUUAGUGACAAACAAUCAGAGGAAAGUGCCGCUGAAGCAAUUUUAGUAUGAAGGACUCAGGCGAUAAGAUACAAUAAUUGCAUAUAGUGGGCAAUAGUAUUUAUGACAGCUCUAAAGUUGAGUCAGAAAACUCACAAACCACUUUUGAUCCAAGCAGAGAAAAAGAAGGGCACAAUUUAUUCAAGUGACACCAUUAGAAGCCAUUUAACUUUUCAGUGUUUUGAUUUAUAAGGAGAGGCAUGACACACUAACACCUCAUUACUGAGAACUCCUACAAAGCAGUUGGGAUCUCCCUACUCCCUCUUCUCAUACAUUCAUUAGAUUAUUUCCAAUUAUGGAGACAGCAUCAUCACUGUCUCUAUCCCCUCCUCUCAGUGCACAACCAGGAAACUCCCGUGCAUUCCCAAUCAUUCCUGCCCUGCACCAUUUUGCACUGUCACAUUUGAAAAGUCAUUGCAGUCAAGCAAAGUCAUUGGUGAUUGGAAAAAAGGAAAGCACUCUUUUUUAAGGGAGAAAGGAAGAGCUCGGGAACUACAGGCCUGUAUUACUCAGUUUUGGAACCUGCACGUGCUCUGCAGACAGUGCGUUCAGCACCGGCAAUCCAAAAGAAUCUGCAGUCUGUUCCUUCAAUGAACAGCACCGCUCGCUCAUCCAGCCGCGAGUUCUCACCGAACGGAACCCAACUCCUCCAGCGGGCCGUGACUGAACGCUGCUGCCCCCUGCGGGAGCAAAAACCCAAUAUAGCGCAACAGGCACUGCAGGGCGCAGCUGCCGCCCGGUGAUUAAAGCAGCAGAAGGUAACGCAGACUCUCUUCGUGCCUCACUGCCACGCACGCGCCGUGCAGGAACGGCAGCAACGACUUGGCGCCCUCGACCUCCUUCACAGAAGCAGAACAACUCGGAAAAGACACGAGAGUGGCGCCAACGGCACAGUUCCGCCGGAGCGGCGCCUCGUUUCUCUAACCGCACUGCGCUGCGAAUGCGCCACGCCUGCGGCCUCCGGCAGAACCACGCACGCAUCCGAACGUGUAAAGAACUACGCCUGCUCUAACGGCUCAGAUUAAGGCGAGGACUGUUGUAUCGCACCGACAGCUCCCAGCGCUGCUCGCUCUUCCACUGCCCGCUGGCUGUCGCCUCGGUCAUCGCACCCCCACGCCACAACGCCCUAUUUCGGCUCCAGCUGCCCCGCAGCGCGGCCGGCUCAGGGCCGAAGCGAAGCGCCCGGUGCCCGCCCCGCAUCCACGCACGCGCUGCAAACGUUGCGGCCCUCGGUGCUGCCGCCACCUGUAGCGGCCCGGUACUGCAGGCCGGUGAGUAUAAAGUGGACCCCGCGCAACUGCCACGGGGGAAGGAACACGACUUCGUUGCGUGCCUCUACGUACCUGCGUGCUGCACAGCGACGAAAAAACACCUUUUCCUCCGUGCCCUGGAACCAAAAUUUGCUGACCAGCUGCUGGGUGCCCAGAGAGGUAACAGCAGUCUCCGCAUCAGUUUGUACACCCACUUUGUGUGAUGGCGCCACAAAGGGCACCCAGAGGUUCUCAGUGCACCCUAGGAUGCCCUACAGUCGCUCAGGGAGCAGCACCUGAUGUGGCACACUGAGGUGUGCUUGGGCUACAGUAUGGUACACUGGAAAACCUAUAGGGCACUCCAGAGCACACUGUGGCAUUCAUAGAAUAUUGUGGGAAGCCCUGUAUUUCACUUUGGUGUCCUUGGAAGCCUCUAGGAUACAGUGGGAAGCACGGGAAGAACAGCAGGGGGCAUGACAGGCUCUGGGAGCCCAUUAAUGUUCCCUAAAGCACAUUGGAUGGCUCAGGGAGGUCUCUGGUGCACACUGUGUAUCCUUUAGCAUGAUUCUGGGAGCUUUGGAAGCAUGUUAUGAUGGUGCCAAAUACAGAAGGACACACUGGGAAACCAGUAAAGAACCCUAGAGCACACCAAGGAGCUGAGGGGUCUCUAGUGUGCUCUGAGAUGUGUCUAGGAUGCCUCCCUAAAGCCUGCUCAAUAUCUCAGGGAUAUGUUUAGGUGUCUCUAGAGCUGACUGUGAGGCCCCACAAAACCUCUGGGGCACAUUAGAGAGCACUGAGUCCCAGGGGAGCGUUCUAGGGCACCUGUGCCUACGCUCUGGGCUUGACUACAUGCUCCAUGGCAUCUGAGAGGCCCACACCAGUGCAGUCUGGAACCCAAGGCUAUGCACUGGAAUUGCCUGUAUGCUUUACUGCACCCUUGAUGCAUGUAUUUGUGAGGUCCUAGAACUGGUUAUCCCAGAACAUUACCUCCAACCCCUUUCUGCUUCCACUGUAUUUAAUUGUGAUGAGGGGCAGAAGCACCACCACACUUAAGCCAGGCUGCAGGGCCCUCAUGUUCAACAAGGUGCUCCAAUUACUACAAAUGUAACUUCAAGGUCAUCCAGAGCAGCACCCCCACAGAAAUGACCAAGACCAUCUACAGCCUCAGUCAAAUUUUGAUAUCAUGCAUAGUAAGAAAACAGCCACAUCCAAAAAUGGAGAGAAAAAGAGACCAACCUGAGAGCCAAGGUGCCAUUAAUCACUCUGCAAAUUCUCCAUCAUUAUGAACAGAACUAUCACAUGUGUUUUCAGCAAAAUCAGUUAAUUUUUGGCAUUUUUAAAAUACAAUAAAUGUACUUGUAAAAAAAAAAGUUUAAAAUAUAAGUAAAUGACAGGCUGAUAAAGUAUCAGAACUGCCCUGUGCUUUCUGCUAAUAUGCUUUUAUUAUGAUUAAAUUUGCCUGGUAGUUUGAUUUGAGUGCAUGAAUAUUUAAAGAAACAUCACUUAUAAAAGUGACACUUAUAAAAGAGACAGUCAAUCAUUAUGUACAUGGAUAUUUGUAAACAAUUUACAAAGUCUUCCUGGUUAACAUCUGGACAGCUCAAUGCAAGGGAAAUAGCAUUACAACAAAGGUACGACAGCAGGAGGACCAGCACAAUAGAAAGGCACUACAAAGAAAGAGAAGAAGAUUGCUCACCUUGUCAGAAGAUUCAGGGUUCAUAGUGAAAAGAUUGGC